rnacentral:rRNA from 1 species
GACGAACGCUGGCGGCGUGCUUAACACAUGCAAGUCGAACGGAAAGGCCCUGCUUUUGUGGGGUGCUCGAGUGGCGAACGGGUGAGUAACACGUGAGUAACCUGCCCUUGACUUUGGGAUAACUUCAGGAAACUGGGGCUAAUACCGGAUAGGAGCUCCUGCUGCAUGGUGGGGGUUGGAAAGUUUCGGCGGUUGGGGAUGGACUCGCGGCUUAUCAGCUUGUUGGUGGGGUAGUGGCUUACCAAGGCUUUGACGGGUAGCCGGCCUGAGAGGGUGACCGGCCACAUUGGGACUGAGAUACGGCCCAGACUCCUACGGGAGGCAGCAGUGGGGAAUAUUGCACAAUGGGCGGAAGCCUGAUGCGGCAACGCCGCGUGCGGGAUGACGGCCUUCGGGUUGUAAACCGCUUUCGCCUGUGACGAAGCGUGAGUGACGGUAAUGGGUAAAGAAGCACCGGCUAACUACGUGCCAGCAGCCGCGGUGAUACGUAGGGUGCGAGCGUUGUCCGGAUUUAUUGGGCGUAAAGGGCUCGUAGGUGGUUGAUCGCGUCGGAAGUGUAGUCUUGGGGCUUAACCCUGAGCGUGCUUUCGAUACGGGUUGACUUGAGGAAGGUAGGGGAGAAUGGAAUUCCUGGUGGAGCGGUGGAAUGCGCAGAUAUCAGGAGGAACACCAGUGGCGAAGGCGGUUCUCUGGGCCUUUCCUGACGCUGAGGAGCGAAAGCGUGGGGAGCGAACAGGCUUAGAUACCCUGGUAGUCCACGCUGUAAACGGUGGGUACUAGGUGUGGGGUCCAUUCCACGGGUUCCGUGCCGUAGCUAACGCUUUAAGUACCCCGCCUGGGGAGUACGGCCGCAAGGCUAAAACUCAAAGGAAUUGACGGGGCCCCGCACAAGCGGCGGAGCAUGCGGAUUAAUUCGAUGCAACGCGUAGAACCUUACCUGGGUUUGACAUGGAUCGGGAGCGCUCAGAGAUGGGUGUGCCUCUUUUGGGGUCGGUUCACAGGUGGUGCAUGGCUGUCGUCAGCUCGUGUCGUGAGAUGUUGGGUUAAGUCCCGCAACGAGCGCAACCCUUGUUCACUGUUGCCAGCACGUUAUGGUGGGGACUCAGUGGAGACCGCCGGGGUCAACUCGGAGGAAGGUGGGGAUGACGUCAAGUCAUCAUGCCCCUUAUGUCCAGGGCUUCACGCAUGCUACAAUGGCUGGUACAGAGAGUGGCGAGCCUGUGAGGGUGAGCGAAUCUCGGAAAGCCGGUCUCAGUUCGGAUUGGGGUCUGCAACUCGACCUCAUGAAGUCGGAGUCGCUAGUAAUCGCAGAUCAGCAACGCUGCGGUGAAUACGUUCCCGGGGCU